rnacentral:rRNA from 1 species
UACGUAGGGAGCAAGCGUUGUCCGGAAUCAUUGGGCGUAAAGCGCGCGUAGGCGGCUCGAUCAGUCUGUUGUGAAAGUCAAAGGCUCAACCUUUGAAUGCCGAUGGAUACUGUCGAGCUAGAGUCCGGAAGAGGCGGGUGGAAUUUCUGGUGUAGCGGUGGAAUGCGCAGAUAUCAGGAGGAACACCAACGGCGAAGGCAGCCCGCUGGGACGGUACUGACGCUAAGGCGCGAAAGCGUGGGGAGCGAACAGG